AGACUUAGGUUAACACAAACCCGGGGCCUUCAAAGCCCCAAACAAGCCCACAUGCUUAGUCCCUG
rnacentral:tRNA from 1 species